UUAAUUUCACGGUGUCUCCUGGAUAAUCAUUGCAUUAAUGAUAUGUAGAAGCAUUUUCGAAGAUAUCAAAAAGACGCAGCGGGAUAUUUUGUACAACCUUCCACCACACAAGGGCAGUAUUGUAUUAUAUUUCGUCUUACUUUUCAGUCCCAUACAAUACCUUUUGGAAAAUCGUUUUAGUUUUUUUACCGCUGAACUUCACCAAGACGAAAAGCUUCAGCAGAAUUCUCAGAUAUUCUCCAGAAGGUACAGCCUAAAGUAGGCCUAGUCUAAAGUCAAAUGCAUCAACAAUGGCACACCCUCUUCUCAUGCCUCUCUUUUUGAUGAGACCCAACGGAACCACUGUGCUGAGGGGAACAAAGACGUCAUCUCUGAGGCGAGUCAACCACAACUACUUGGAGCCACUGGAGCAACAUGGAGACGGCUGUGAAAGGAACAAAAGCAGUUCCGGGAGUAUGAUAGGGGAAGGAGGCCCAGCGAUCCCUUCAAUCAACCAUACCACUCAUCUGACUGUUCACAACAUCAGGUUCUGGGUCUGGGUCGGACCGCGGGGCUCACCAGAGAGACGUCAGGCAGUGCAUCCAAA